rnacentral:rRNA from 1 species
CCUACGGGAGGCAGCAGUGAGGAAUAUUGGUCAAUGGGCGCGAGCCUGAACCAGCCACGUAGCGUGAAGGAUGACUGCCCUACGGGUUGUAAACUUCUUUUAUAGAGGAAUAAAAUGAGGCACGUGUGCCUUUUUGUAUGUACUUUAUGAAUAAGGAUCGGCUAACUCCGUGCCAGCGGCCGCGGUCAUCCGGAGGAUCCGAGCGUUGUCCGGCUUUAUUGGGUUUAAAGGGAGCGUAGAUGGGUUGUUAAGUCAGUUGUGAAAGUUUGCGGCUCAAACGUAAGAUUGCAAUUGAUACUGGCAGCCUGGAGUGUAGUUGAGGUAGGCGGAAUUCGUGGUGUAGCGGUGAAAUGCUUAGAUAUCACGAAGAACUCCGAUUGCGAAGGCAGCUUACUAAACUGUGACUGACAUUGAUGCUCGAAAGUGUGGGGAGCAAACAGGAUUAGAUACCCUAGUAGUC